GACGAACGCUGGCGGCGUGCUUAACACAUGCAAGUCGAACGAAGUGGCGAACGGGUGAGUAACACGUGAGUAAUCUGCCCUCCAAUAUGGGAUAACUCCGAGAAAUCGGGGCUAAUACUGGAUAGUGCAGGAUGAGCUCGCGGCCUAUCAGCUUGUUGGUGGGGUAAUGGCCUACCAAGGCGUAGACGGGUAGCCGGCCUGAGAGGGUGUACGGCGACAUUGGGACUGGGAUACGGCCCAGACUCCUACGGGAGGCAGCAGUGGGGAAUCUGCCGAAAUGGACGAAAGUCUGACGGAGCAACGCCGCGUGAGUGAUGACGGCCUUCGGGGUGUAAAGCUCUGGUAAUCGGGACGCGGCAUCGGACUAGCAAUCCACGGCUAACUACGUGCCAGCAGCCGCGGUAAUUC
rnacentral:rRNA from 1 species